rnacentral:tRNA from 1 species
GGGCCGGUAGCUCAGCGGUAGAGCAUCUGCAUGGCAUGCAGGAGGUCUGGGGUUCAAAUCCCCAUCGGUCCACCA